GCCUGGAUAGCUCAGUCGGUUGGAGUGUAGUGCUGAUGAUGCCAAGGUUGAAGGUUCAGUCCCUGUAUGGGACA